rnacentral:lncRNA from 1 species
CAAUCCAGCAAGCCUUGGAUUUCUGUCUCAUAAUUUGUUCCUCCACAUUGCUCCAUUUCUCAAUUUCAUUAAGGAUUUCUGUCUCAUAAUUUGUUCCUCCACAUUGCUCCAUUUCUCAAUUGCAUUUAGUGCUGCUUUUUCCUCAGUAAACAAAUUCUGUGAAAGUGGAUUGUGCUGCAGCUGAUUCUGUAUAAUAUCCAGUGUCUCUCUAGCCUGAAUAAGUUUCUGUUUGUAUGAAGCCAUAUGGAUGUUUAUCUCCUAUAAGUUCUUCUUCAAGUUCUUAAAUUUUGUCCAUAUCUACUGCAUAUGUGAUCCUUCACAUUUCUGUCCCCAGACCUGUUGUAGAAUAGUAAGAAACUGGGGGUCCUCCAUAAUAGCAAUAUAGAGUCUGAAAGGUUUAGGAUGCCGAAGUUUUUGACUCCCAAUUUUAAUGAGAAUAGGAGAGUGAUCAGAAACUGAGGGGUUCAUGAAGUCAGCUUCUAGGUGUCCAUACUG